GGUGACAGUGGUGCAUGGUUGUCGUCAGCUCGUGUCGUGAGAUGUUGGGUUAAGUCCCGCAACGAGCGCAACCCCUAUUGUUAGUUGCCAUCAUUCAGUUGGCACUCUAGCGAGACUGCCGGUAAUAAACCGGAGGAAGGUGGGGAUGACGUCAAAUCAUCAUGCCCCUUAUGACCUGGGCUACACACGUGCUACAAUGGUUGGUACAACGAGUUGCGAGUCGGUGACGGCGAGCUAAUCUCUUAAAGCCAAUCUCAGUUCGGAUUGUAGGCUGCAACUCGCCUACAUGAAGUCGGAAUCGCUAGUAAUCGCGGAUCAGCACGCCGCGGUGAAUACGUUCCCGGGCCUU
rnacentral:rRNA from 1 species